AUCAACUCUCUUACUCAUAAAUGAUAAAUCUAGUCUCAAAAAUUCCCUAUCCAAACAUAAUGCACCCAUAGCAUUUCUUUCAAAUGGGUUUAAUCUCACAACUCUCACUUUCAUAAGCCCAUUAACCCUUCAAAUAUAUUAAGCCAUCUCAUAAUCUUACUAACCAAAUAUAUUGGGCCCAUUAAUUCUCUCAAAUAGAAUGGACCCAAUCUCAAUUCUUUUAACCCAAAAUCUAAUGGAUCAAUCUCAAAUCUCUCUCACCCAAACAAGCCCAUUAGCUCUCUUGCCCAUUCACAUCCAAAUUCAUAUAAAUGCCCAAACCAUCAAAAAACUCCUAACCUUCUCACUCUCUCUUUGAAAUGAUCUCUCUCUCUCUCUCUCUUUCUCUCUCUCUCUUAAUCUCUUGCACACACUCUCACUCUCUCAACUUAUCUCUCUUUCUCACUCUCUCAAUCACAAUUUUCUCUCAAUUCUCACGCACAAAACCCUAAUUUUCUCUCAUUUUUUUCCCAAACUCUCUCACUUGAACUUUCACCCAUUCGAAAAUCUCACAAACCUACCCCAUUAAUCAACCAAAUUUGGCAACACAAAGGGGAGGAAGAGCCUCCAUUGCAUCGACAAGGAGUAAAAAGGAGGGAAAGUGGCAUGGCAAGGAGGGAAGAGAAAGGUGACAGCGUGGCAAAGAGGAGGCUCAUCAAUGGGGGAAAAGGGAAGAAGAAGAAAAAGAAAAAGAAAGGAAAAAGAGAAAGAAAGAAAUAAAGAAGAGGAAAGGAAAAGAGAAGAAGAAGAGAAAAGCUAGAAUUGGGUUGACAUUCCACUAGUACCCUUGAUAGACUUCUCUCCUAUGGAUAGGCCUUCAUCCAUCAAACCAAGUCUUUUCAACAUAACCGUGGGAAUGUUGACAUUACCCACUACCACAGCUAUCACUCCAGAUUCAAAGCCUCCAGUCUCUCUCUGAAUGAAUGGUGGUCGAAAAAAUUGCUCUCUGCAAAGAUCGAUGUAUCAAGGAGGAAGCAAAGAUAAGAGGUUUGUUCUCUUUCAAGCACCCAGGUUGAGGUUUUGGCGCACAAGGCAUUUGGCUGGUUGGAGCACUUUAGCAAGCAUAAUAUAACGGCUGGAGUGCCUAUGAUUUGUUGUCCUUUUUUUUUUUGGUCUAGAACCACCCGGUAUCCGGCCCACUAGCCAAUUAAUCCGAAUCAGGUACUGCAGAGGCCCAUUAUAGGGGCGAUCCUCCCAACUCAGUCUUCUCCAUUCAUA